AUUGAACGCUGGCGGCAGGCCUAACACAUGCAAGUCGAACGGUAACAGGAAGAAGCUUGCUCCUUUGCUGACGAGUGGCGGACGGGUGAGUAAUGUCCGGGAAACUGCCUGAUGGAGGGGGAUGACUACUGGAAACGGUAGCUAAUACCGCAUAACGUCGCAAGACCAAAGAGGAGGACCUUCGGGCCUCUUGCCAUUGGAUGUGCCCAGGUGGGAUUUGCUAGUAGGUGGGGUACCGGCUCACCUAGGCCACGAUCCCUAGCUGGUCUGAGAGGAGGGCCAGCCACACUGGAACUGAGACACGGUCCAGACUCCUACGGGAGGCAGCGGUGGGGAAUGUUGCACUAUGGGCGCAAGCCUGAUGCAACCCUGCCGCGUGUAUGGAGAGAGCCUUCGCGUUGUAAAGUACUUUCAGCGGGGAGAAAGAGAGUAGAGUUAAUACCUUUGCUCAUUGACGUUACCCUAAGAAGAAGCACCGGCUAACUCCGUG
rnacentral:rRNA from 1 species